UACGUAGGGAGCAAGCGUUGUUCGGAUUUACUGGGCGUAAAGGGCGCGUAGGCGGCGCGGUAAGUCACUUGUGAAAUCUCUGAGCUUAACUCAGAACGGCCAAGUGAUACUGCAGUGCUAGAGUGCAGAAGGGGCAAUCGGAAUUCUUGGUGUAGCGGUGAAAUGCGUAGAUAUCAAGAGGAACACCAAUGGCGAAGGCAGCUCGCUGGAACGGUACUGACGCUGAGGCGCGAAAGCGUGGGGAGCGAACAGG
rnacentral:rRNA from 1 species